GCCUAACACAUGCAAGUCGAGCGCGCCCUUCGGGGUGAGCGGCGGACGGGUUAGUAACGCGUGGGAACAUACCCUUCUCUAAGGAAUAGUCUCGGGAAACUGAGGGUAAUACCUUAUACGCCCUUCGGGGGAAAGAUUUAUCGGAGAUGGAUUGGCCCGCGUUAGAUUAGAUAGUUGG
rnacentral:rRNA from 1 species